AGAUGAAGAACGCAGUGAAAUGCGAUAAGUAGUGUGAAUUGCAGAAUUCAGUGAAUCAUCGAAUCUUUGAACGCACAUUGCGCCCCUUGGUAUUCCAUGGGGCAUGCCUGUUCGAGCGUCAUUUGUACCUUCAAGCUCUGCUUGGUGUUGGGUGUUUGUCUCGCCUCUGCGUGUAGACUCGCCUCAAAACAAUUGGCAGCCGGCGUAUUGAUUUCGGAGCGCAGUACAUCUCGCGCUUUGCACUCAUAACGACGACGUCCAAAAGUACAUUUUUACACUCUUGACCUCGGAUCAGGUAGGGAUACCCGCUGAACUUAAGCAUAUCAAUACGGAGGA
rnacentral:misc_RNA from 1 species